UACGGAGGAUCCAAGCGUUAUCCGGAUUUAUUGGGUUUAAAGGGUGCGUAGGCGGCUUUGUAAGUCAGUGGUGAAAGCCCGUAGCUUAACUACGGAACUGCCAUUGAUACUGCAGAGCUUGAGUAUGUUUGAAGAGGGCGGAAUGUGCAGUGUAGUGGUGAAAUGCUUAGAUAUUGCACAGAACACCAAUUGCGAAGGCAGCUCUCUAAACCAUUACUGACGCUGAGGCACGAAAGUGUGGGGAUCAAACAGG
rnacentral:rRNA from 1 species